rnacentral:ncRNA from 1 species
CAACUGAGUGAUCUCUCGGAUGCCCGUAAGGGCGUAACAGGGAAGUCCGGUGAGAAACCGGCGCGGUCCCGCCACUGUAAGUGGGAAGCGACCCCGUUCAAGCCACUCGACGACGAGUCGGGGAAGGCUGGGGAAGCGUUGAGGGUCUGACCUUCUGAACCCACGAGCCAGGAGACCUAUCCGAGGUGACAUGGCACU